GCAGAGAUGUGAAGAUUCGCAAGUUAAAAAAUAAUUCAUCCAAGUGCUGCAGAACAUUGUCAUGCAAUUUUGCUGUCUGUUUCUACCUGCAUAAAUCCCACCCUUUGACAAAAAUAUAAUAAAAUCAUCAUGCACAUAUGGGAACUAUUUAAAACUCUACGACACUUUUACUUGCAGCAUGUGAAACACCCAUACAUGUUGAGAUACAUAUAUGUACAUAUGUAUGGCGAAAUUAUGUAAUUGGCCAACUUUUGCUCAGUAAAUGAUGCCCUGGAAUUAAGCACCCUAUGAAAAUAGUAAAACCCUUUAGAUUCGGUUUGCUGGGACACUCUGAUAACGAUCAAAAUCGAUGUUUGUUAUUUGACAAAGAUUUUAUAAACCUGGCCUGGAAGAUUUCCACGAAAAGAAAUAUGUAUGUACAUAUAUGCACACGUACAAAAUGUGAAAACUACGAUCCACUUCAUCAGCUCCAUCACUAUCAUUUCUGGACGACCCUAUCCGUGAUUCUUCCAGCGUCUCGUCAUUCCACCCAAGAUGAACUUUCAGUUCAGGUGCAUCACACUAACUAAGUAAAGAAGGUAUUGGAGCAAAUAAAAAACGAAAGCCAGUAUUCCGCAGGUCACACGAAUUCUAUUUUUUAUGCCCACCUUUAUUUGGGAUUGUAUGACUUGAUGUUAUAAAAAAACGUUAUGAACAUAUACAUACAUAUGUACAUAAAUGAGAAAUUGCAGCCUA